rnacentral:rRNA from 1 species
UACGGAGGAUGCAAGCGUUAUCCGGAAUUACUGGGCGUAAAGGGUGCGUAGGUGGUUUCUUAAGUCAGAGGUGAAAGGCUACGGCUCAACCGCAGUAAGCCUUUGAAACUGGGAAACUUUAGUGCAGGAGAGGAGAGUGGAAUUCCUAGUGUAGCGGUGAAAUGCGUAGAUAUUAGGAGGAACACCAGUUGCGAAGGCGGCUCUCUGGACUGUAACUGACACUGAGGCACGAAAGCGUGGGGAGCAAACAGGAUUAGAUACCCUGGUAGUCCCU